CCCGCAACGAGCGCAACCCUCGACCUUAGUUGCCACGCAUUCAGUUGGGCACUCUAAGGUGACUGCCGGCUAAAAGUCGGAGGAAGUGGGGAUGACGUCAAAUCAUCAUGCCCCUUAUGACCUGGGCUACACACGUGCUACAAUGGGCGGUACAAAGGGUCGCGAACCCGCGAGGGGAGCCAAUCCCAAAAAGCCGCUCUCAGUUCGGAUUGCAGGCUGCAACUCGCCUGCAUGAAGCCGGAAUCGCUAGUAAUCGCAGGUCAGCAUACUGCGGUGAAUACGUUCCCGGGCCUU
rnacentral:rRNA from 1 species